GUGCUUGCUUCAGUAGCACAUAUACUGAAAUUGGAACGAUACAGCGAAGAUUAGCAUGGCCCUUGCACAAGAAUGACAUGCAAAUUCGUGAAGCGUUUCAUUUUUUU
rnacentral:snRNA from 1 species